UUCGAGGACGAAUGUUCUAAAGGGGGGGAGAAUGUUAUAUCCUGCAUUUUCGAACGUCGAAUUAUUUGUAAGCUGAGGUGGGGCCCACACAUCAAUAUUUUUUUUGGGACAUGUGAAAAGUUAUAUGAAUCGUAUAUGUAAAGUUAAACACAACCCGUGAAGGGCCCUGGAGCCAAAUCAAAGUGGAAGCCCUCCAAACGAAUAUUUUUAAGAAAACGUUUUCGGAUGACCUGACUUGGAGGGGCAAAAACGGCAUUAUAAGUUUAGAAUUUGGGAAAAUGCCCAGAGAUAAAAGUUGUAGAUAAUUGAAAUAGCUUUCCAACGGUAGGUCGUGGGCUCCCAGGCGACGUCGGUACAAGGAGAUAUGGACAUUUUAAGGCGGAAAGGUCAAGCUGGGCAGUGAAAUGGGCCCAACCCGAUUCCAAUCCGGGUCAGGCCCAUUUCCUUAUUAUUUAAGGGAGUUUUCAGCCUCCUCCUCCACAUUUCAGAUCAGAAAAGAUCCAAAAAAUUCCAUUAGAGAGAGAGAGAGAAAACUUCAAGGCUAAGAAGAUCAUUUUGAUCAAAAUCCGAGCUCCGAAUCCCGAAGCUCAUGAAGAGAAAAACGUUGUACGUUGCGUUGCCUUCAAUUUGAGAUAAAUAUUAGUCUUGGGGGAUGAAAUUUUCGUGGUGGAUCUUCUGAUAAGAUUUUGGACGAGAUUGGGAUCGACGCCAAGCGAGCGUAAGGCGCUAUCGAGGUACAGGCGCACUCGGUGACACGCCGCCAGUCUAGGGCACAGGUUCUGCUAUCUUGAAGAGCUCCUUUUGAUUCGGAGCAUGUACUUUGGUAUAUAUAUCUUUUGUUUUCCGUAUGUUCUGUAUGUAUGGAAGUUCU